GAAUCGAGAGAGAGAGUGUGUGUGUCUGGCUUUGAUCGAAACAGACCUGGUUCAAGGUGAGAUGUGAAAUAGUUGGGACAUUUCCGGUGGCGAUUAAUGUCAGCCUUUUGUUGUGAAAUUGCUCAGAAACGACGUGUUAAACUGUGAAAAAAGGGAGUGGGGGAAAACUGGAGGCUAAAUGCAACCGAUGUAUUUUUUUUUUUUAUGUGUUUGUUAAAAAGAAGAGAAAACAAGUUUCACAUUCAAACGAGGCAGUGAAAACUAAAAACUUUAAACUUUAAAAGUUAUAGUGGUUCCACAAUGUUAUGCACAAAAAAUCCAAGACGCCUAUUUGAACAAAGAAAUGGAGAGUGUGUGUUUUUGAGGUGAUGUAUUGUUUCACACACGUGCACUCAGACAGCUACAGUUUAAAGACGCCGAACAAACAAGCAUGCUUGAGUCUCGAGAUGCAUGUCAUAUUAAAACAGCAACAGUAUUUUCUCGACAGAAUAUAAAUAGAGCGUGACGAUAAAGUUAGGUUGAUUAAUUUCAAAUAGCCUAAUGAUUUUGAUGUAAAAGAGGUCUUCGUGUGUUUGUUCGGAACACGCCCACCUCUCGCGACACUAUGAUCCGCCCAAACAGUUGUCGGGUGAUUUAAAGAUUUGUUGCGGGAACACUGGACUCAUUGUUACCGUCCCCUCACCACUGUCUCGCGCGCCGCUGCCUGAAACCACCUGCGCUCAAAUGGCUCUCAAUCUUAACGGUAUGUAACCUAUCUUUUGUUCAUGCAUAAGUGUGGCUUACAUCGGUCUGCGAACAGAGAUCGCAAGAACUGUUCUUUUGUGCUAAACGAGCGCUUUUCUGUUUUCUGUUUGCAGUCGACGAGGCUCGAAGCGGCGAAGAUAACACAACACCUGGUGUCCCGUCGUCGUGUGCACCUGAUAAAUCAGCGGCUCCGGAUAACCUCAAACCGGUGGUAUCAGUACCUUUGAGUGGCAGUAACAGUGGGUCUGAACCGGUGACGCCGGGGGAUUCACUCCAGGCUAUAACAACCCAGAGUCUUGAGCCCAAGUCCAGUGGAUGCAACACGUCUGCCUUGAGAUGUGGGGAAAAGCGGGAGAGGGAAUCAGACGACCCCUCUGAAGUUCCUGUGAAACGCCGCUUGAGACCAUCAGAGGAUAACGGGAAAGAAUGUUCACCAGAUUACGACCAGAGAUGUGCGGAGCUAUGGAUCGAUGGUGAAAUGGCUGCUUGUGAGGCUUAUGAAUUAUCAAAGUCCAGCAGCGACACCCAGCGCCGACAUGUUGUUCCACAACACGACAAUAACAGUUCUGUCAGUCGGCCUCCCACACAGAAGGACUUUGCACGUGCUGUUCGAGCCGAAGUGGCAGCCUGUUUUCAACCCCUCACAAAGUUGAUUAGUUUGAGUAUUGAGUGGAGCAGAACUGAUUUCGCUGAGGUGAUAAGUAGACUUCGUGCACUGCAGAGGGAUACCACAGAGUUGGGAAGUGAAAUCCGUAAUAUGCGAGCAGAUAAAAGACAGGCGUUAGAUGAAAUCUCUCUUAUGGAAGAAAGAAUGAGCGUCAUUCAAAGGUGUGUGUUAGAGACGCACCAAAUUAUGAAUACUACUAGAAAAUGAUGGGUCUGUUUAUCAUAGCAUACUGAUUUUGGUUCAACCCUAUUUCUGCUAAACUUUUCUUCUUUUUUUAUAUAAUUGUAUUAACGAGUGAUUAUAAUUUUUUUUUUUUUUUAUGAUGUGCAUGCUUGUUUAUUACAUAACUUUUGUGUGUUAUUUUAAUUUUUUUUUUUUUAAUAAAUUGUUUCAAAAUGGCCCUAAAAGAUGUCACAGUGAUUUCAAUGACAUCCAACCAGAUGUGUAUGUGUGUAUGUAUCUAUAUAUAAGGCUUAUUUUAA
rnacentral:lncRNA from 1 species